UGGGGAAUAUUGCACGAUGGGCGAAAGCCUGAUGCAGGGAUGCCGCGUGAGUGAUGAAGGCCUUCGGGUUGUAAAGCUCUUUUAUCCGGGAAUAAAGAAGUUUAAGUAAUAUUUAAAUUUUGUGAAGGUACCGGAAGAAUAAGCACCGGCUAACUACGUGCCAGCAGCCGCGGUAAUACGUAGGGUGCAAGCGUUAAUCGGAAUUACUGGGCGUAAAGCGUGCGCAGGCGGUUCGGAAAGAAGGAUGUGAAAUCCCAGGGCUUAACCUUGGAACUGCAUUCUUAACUACCGGGCUAGAGUAUGUCAGAGGGAGGUGGAAUUCCGCGUGUAGCAGUGAAAUGCGUAGAUAUGCGGAGGAACACCGAUGGCGAAGGCAGCCUCCUGGGAUAAUACUGACGCUCAUGCACGAAAGCGUGGGGAGCAAACAGG
rnacentral:rRNA from 1 species